rnacentral:rRNA from 1 species
AAUCAACGCUGGCGGCGUGCCUCAGACAUGCAAGUCGAACGAUUAAAGCUCUCUUCGGAGAGUGUAUAGAGUGGCGCACCGGGUGAGUAACACGUAAGUAAUCUACCUUCGAGUGGGAAUACCGUCCGGAACGGACGCUAAUACCGCAUAAUAGCUAGCGGCAUCGUAAGACUGACAGUUGUUAAAGAUUUUAUCGCUUGAAGAGGAGCUUGCGGCAGAUUAGCUAGUUGGUAAGGUAAUGGCUUACCAAGGCUACGAUCUGUAACCGGUC